AUUUAAUGGAGCGGCUAGUGGGAUGUUGAAAACUCGGCAAAACAUAAGCGUGUAAACUUGUAAGGUCAAUAAAAGUUCAAUAACUUAAAAUAAAAAAAGAAAGAAUUAUCAUGAAAAAGAAAGUGUUACAUGAAAUAAUGAUAAUAAUCAUUAAUAGUUUCUGAGAUACAGUGUGACAUGUGACCCCCUUUACAAAAAAAACUGACACCCCUCCCC
rnacentral:lncRNA from 1 species